rnacentral:misc_RNA from 1 species
ACUUGAAUUGAUUGCAUUUAGGCACUAAAAUUCCAUCUAAAUGAACCUCAUCUUCAUUCCUUCUACAGUAGCUAAACUCGCACUGUAUAUAUUGCGUCAUACUUUUACUUAGGUUAAAACCCUUGCUCUUAAGGGUCCUCAACUAUUCUAACUUUUGGUUAACUUUUUCAAUAGUUUCAUCCUCUAAGACAAUACCAUUUGCAAAUAACAUGUGCCAUGAGACAUCAUCUUGAAUAUGAUUG